rnacentral:rRNA from 1 species
GUGGGGAAUAUUGCGCAAUGGGCGAAAGCCUGACGCAGCGACGCCGCGUGAGGGACGAAGGCCUUCGGGUUGUAAACCUCUUUCAGCAGGGACGAAGCGAAAGUGACUGUACCUGCAAAAGAAGCACCGGCUAACUACGUGCCAGCAGCCGCGGUAAUACGUAGGGUGCAAGCGUUGUCCGGAAUUAUUGGGCGUAAAGAGCUCGUAGGCGGCUUGUCACGUCGGGUGUGAAAACUCGGGGCUCAACCCCGAGCCUGCAUCCGAUACGGGCUAGCUAGAGUUCGGCAGGGGAGACUGGAAUUCCUGGUGUAGCGGUGAAAUGCGCAGAUAUCAGGAGGAACACCGGUGGCGAAGGCGGGUCUCUGGGCCGAUACUGACGCUGAGGAGCGAAAGCGUGGGGAGCAAACAGGAUUAGAAACCCGGGUAGUCC